AAGUACUUUCAGAGUUUUAUAUGCAAAAGAUACAAAACCAACAUCCAUAUUGGAAUGAUCAAAUCUUUGCCUUUAUAUUGUACUUUUGGUGCUAAGAUUUGGUUUGAAAUCAGAGUUUCUUUUAUAUACAUUAAAUGUCUCAGUGCUUUCUAUAAAUAUUGAAAAGAAAUCACAAUCAACUUUCUCCAAACUUAUCUUCCUUGCAAACUCAGCACAACUUCACAGCAACUCCCCGUAAAAGGGCCCUGUUUUCUGUGUCCAAAACUCCAGUUCAUGAUAAAAACAAGAAGCUAGGAUAUUUUGUAGAGGAACAGUUAGGUUGUGCUUGUGUCACAAAACAUUCAAACCAAAAUAACCAGGAUGGAGGGGCCUAUCGAUUUCUGCAGUAAAGAAAUACUGUAGUUUUAUUUUACGUAUGCAAUUAAACUAAGGUUGAGAUUAUUAGAAGUUUAGAAUCAUCCAAUUAAUUCAGACUAAUAUCAGCUAGUCAUAAAACUAGAACAACUCAGUAUGGUCCUUUACAGAAUGACACCUUGGCCCCUUCAACAAAGGACUGCCUACAGCAUAUGGGAAUCCUAGGUAGGGCUGUCAGUGGUCAGACUCUGAUUAGAUCCGUGUGCAACUAGGUCCUAGUGUUCUACCUAAACAUGUAUGUAAUUGGCUUUAGUCCAUACAGAGUCAGAUCCUUAUUGGAUCCAGAAAGGUGGAUUCAACACCAAACCAAGACAAAGAUCAAGUCAGAUGUGGAUCCAGUCCACAUUUGAGAAGAGGCAAAAAAACCAUGCAACAUAUGAAUAGUAUUCAAUACCACUUCUUAGCAUCAGAUACAAUUAUACAUGUAUUUUAGUAAUAGAUUAUAAAUUUGAAUCCUUGUCAAACAGGACGACAGAAUCCAAUAAUGAAGGAUACCUGUCAGCAUGGACCUUUAAAUAAUCCUAAAAGAAAGAUCCAGACCCUUGGUUAUGAGAUGUGACAUAUAGGGUACGUGGUGAUUCCUCCAACAUGCAAUUACAGACAUUCAGUCUAAACGCGUACACUCAGAUUGGUAAACCAUCGACAUCAUUAAGUCGAUUGAGAUUACCAUUCGAUAAGGAAACACCCUCAGAGUCAUUAUGUUACAGUGUUACACAAUCAUGUAAAAUUGCAGAGGUACGAACAUGCAUAAUGUUCAAGGUGACUUUCCCAAACUAUAAUCCACCAAAAAUGACCUAAGUGUUGUGAUUCAUGAACACCUGAGCGACAUGAAUAACAGAUAUUUCAGAUACAGCUGAACCCACCUUUUUUAAGAUGCUAUGAUUGCUUUAAUAAUAUUAAAGUAAUACAAAAUAACCAACUUCAUGUGGUUGGUUGCUCACUAUUAACACAAUUCAGACACCAUGGAGUGUGGGCCAUAAUAAUGUAUAAUGCUGGAAGCAUGAGACCACUUACAAUAUAUGGCCUACUGGAAAAAUAGAGAUAAAAGGUUGUUUUAAAGUGAAAGUAAGCUUGGGCCAAUUAAGAUCAGUAGAAGAUAUAGAAAUUCUAGGGCAUACAGCUUACCUGAGACAUCUGCCAUUGUUCAUGUGCACCACCACCUUCACUUGAGAGUACCCUGACAGCCAAGUAAAAUGAAGGAAACAAGAAUCAAAAUUUACCUGAUAAGAGACCAUAUCUAUAAUUGGGGUUUGAAAUAUCAUUUUCGGGCAUCAGAUUAAGCACACGGCUAAACAGUAUCUAGUAAUUGCAAAAGAAAGCAGCACAAAACAACAUGAAGAUAAAAAUUUCAAAUAGUGGCAAUAAAUUUUAUGCAAUUCUUUCUCUAUUUAUUCAAAGUUUUGAAAGCCUAGAUUGAAAUUUUGAAAAAAAGAUUGCAGUUCGAUAUGUGUUCGACUUGAAUAGUGCUUUUUGUGAAGUCCACUAUGCCAUGUUAAAGGGUCCCACUAUGACAUCAAAGAUAAAUGAUAAUGACCUUUAUCAAAACUCAGCUGGCACAACUAGCGGAAAAGGUCUUGACAGAUUUCUGCUCCAUCUUCCAUGAUUAAGGCCUGUAGGGAGUUUUAGCAGGAAACCAUUGAUUUGUUGCAGAACACCUAUAUGUAAGAUAUACCCCGCUCCCACAUAGUACUCUGCAAUUGUUGUUAGCUAUGCACACACACACACACCCCAUAAAAAAAAAAAUUAAAAAUUAUCCACAAGACUAUAUUGAACUUUCCACAUCAAAUUACUUCAAUAGUGAUGGCCCAUAACCGUCUGCAUGACAUUGGACCUCAAUUUUGUAUCACAAAAUCCUGUCUACAUGGGUUGAGACUUGAGAUUAAGCAAACUUCUCUUAAUCCUUAUUGUAAGUAUUCAACCAGAUAAGCAAUAAGUUGCAGCUGAUCAGAGGAGUAGAAAGGCCCUAUAUUUUAAAUCCAUUUGUAAACACAGCAGUUAUAUCGUGAACAAGCACAUCAGCAAAGCAUCACACCUAAAGGAUGUUAUUUAAUUACUAUCGCUUAUGUAGUCCUACUUGAAGCAGUAACAUAAGAAAACUAGCACCCUUCCAACUUGUCUUAGUUUUUAUCGAGAGUUAAAACCAUAACACAACAAAUAAAAAUUGCAUACCCUCUAUAAAUAAUUUGCAGAUGAUAAAACUUGAGAACGAGCUUCAUCCUAAGUUAACUGUACACUCUUUACGUCAAAGUAAUAUCAUAGGUAACAAAUUGAUCGAAACUGUGAGGGCAUAAACUACGGGUGGUUCCUGCUCAAACACUACAAUAUAGAUUUAACAAAUACCUCACUGCCAUUCCCCAUGUAAGAAUACAUGAUGGAGCUACCAGUACAAUUUCCAAAGAGAUGACACAACCAAAUACUCCUUAGUCCUUACUAUUGUACUGACAGAAAAAUAUACUAUUCGUUAAUUGUCAGCAUCAGAUAAAAACAAUCUAUUCUUUUCCGGAAAGGCAAACUUCCUGAGCUUAAAUGCUUGAUCCUAUGGUAAGACAAAGGCUAGUUGCCAUAUCAGUAACUCUGUCAGUUUUUGAACUUUCCAUACAACUAUACCAUAUACAUGUUCCCUUACACAUUUAUAACCCAGUUGCUAGACACACUAGACUUGAUUCAAAUCUAAUUCCUAGAGCUUGGCUACAAAGAACUUGAACACGAAAGCUAUAUACUUUUCGUAGGAAAUCAGUCUUUGAAGCUAGGAGGACUAGAUUAUCUUGCUUGAUCCUAUGGUAAGACGAAGACUAAUUCUCAUAUCAUACAACUAUUACCAUAUACAUGUUCCCUUACACUUUUAUAACCCAAUUGGUUGAAAAAUAUUUACAAAUAUUGAUGCACUAGACUUUGUUCAAAUUUAUCCUAGAGCUUGGAUAAAUUCGUUUUGUAGGCGAUAGUCUUUGUAGCUGGGAGGGCUAGAGUUUCUUGGUGGACGCAGAAUCACUAAGAAGUAAAAGAGCACUGCGACUUCUUUAGAGCAAUUUCUCUGGAAUGGGUAACUCUAGUUAAAUCAUCUAUAACAAAAAUCGAUUAUUGACAGAGUCCUACUUAAACAGUGAUAAUUACAGGUUUCUGACAGUUGGAUAUAUACUGUUCGAUAAGAUAAAAUCAUGAAAUCUUUAUGAAAACCUUACAAGAUAUAACAAUGUACGUCUCAUAAUAUCAUUAAAUUGUUACUGUAUUAGAUUACGAGAUCAUCAUUAGAGAAACACAAAUUGAACUAAUCUAAUAGAAUUUUGAAAUUUAACAAGAACUAUACCAUAAGAAAAGAAAUUUGAAUUGCAAAGUGAUUUUACUUACAUUUGAUUUCGUUCCUUCUGCCAAAAUGUGUAAUUUAGGGAAAAAUUAGCUUCGAUUGAGAGAAGUAAAGUAAACAGAGAGAUGUUUGAAGUUUGAAGAAACCCUAAUUUUGAUUUUGGGUGAGAAAAUAAUUAUUGCCGCGGAAAAAAAAAAUGUGGAGAGAAGCUGC
rnacentral:lncRNA from 1 species